rnacentral:lncRNA from 1 species
UUCAGCCAUGGAAAUUGGAUUGCAUGGUAUGGUUUUUUAUUCCCGUUUUUAAUAAUUUUUACGUUUUUGGGAUCGUUGCUUUGUGUUCUAGCUAGCCCGUAUCUCCGAUUUCAAAACUGUUAAAGUACUUGAAUGUUGCCAUUGUUGAAUGCAUGAGUAUUUUUUAGUUGAUGCUGGAAAAUAAAUCAUUGUUCUUAAAUGUACAAGUGUUGUAAAGUGAAUUUUGGUAAAAAUGUCAAUUUUGGAUUAAAUUGUGAAAUAUGGAAAUUUAGUGGUUACUAUGUGUAAUAAAUUGAAAAUAUGGGCUGAUAGUAAUAUAUGGAAAAUUCGGCUAGCUUGGGUUUGUGUUUAAUUUCAUGAAAUUGUGAUUUUAUGUGAUAAGGACUAAAUUGUAAAAGUGUGAAAUUUUAAGGGUAAAAUAGUAAUUUUACCAAACUAUGAAAUUGAGUUAAAAUGAAUAGAAUAUGAAUUAAAAUAGCUGUAUUUGAUUGAUUAGAUCAAGUUAAGCCUCGUAUGAGUCUAUAUCGAUGGAAAAACAAAGUUUCGGACUAGUCGAUCCAUUUCAACGUUUUGAUGAUUGAGGUAAGUUAGUAUGCAUUAAGUAUUAUUAUAUUUGCAUAUUUAAUGCGUUGAAAUUGUACAAAUGAUAUAUUCAUGACUAUUACUAUGUAAAGUAAUACAUCGAAUAAUUAUAUGUGGCACUUAAUGUGCGAAGUAUCGGGGAUGGCACUUAGUGUGCGAUACAUCCAGAAUGGCACUUAGUGUGCGAAGUAAUGAGGAUGGCACUUAGUGUGUGAAACAUCCAGAACGGCACUUAGUGUGCAAGGUAUCGGGUAUGACAUCUAGUGUGCGAUACAUUGAGUAUUCAAUGGGUAAAUGAAAGAUGUGAUUGAGUAUGAGAUUGGUACGAGAUGAUACAGGUAUUUACGAAAAUUGGUACAAUAUGGUACAGGUAUGUACGGAAAUUGGUACAACAUAGUACAUAUAUGUACGAAAAUUCAAUUGAGUAUUGAAUCUAUGAAAAUGGUGAGUUCAUGAUCAUUGUGGAAUGAAUAGUGAUUGAAUAAUAAAUUUGGUUGAUGAUUAUAGGCUUUUGGGUCAAAAUGAGUUGAGAUAUGCUCCAUUUUCACUCAUUUAAAUUGUGGCUUAAUGGUUAUGAGAAAAGGGUAAAGAUUGGCAAAUUAUUAGAUUUGAAUUGCUAUUGAAAGCAUGGAAAAGAAUAAGUUUUUGGAUGAUUUAAAGAUAUUUUGCUAUGUGCUUGAUAUGUGAAUACACAUAAGUAAUGUAAACUCAGGUCAUAAUGCUUUAUGAUAAUUUUCUAGUUCUUGUGAUAAUAAAAAUUUAAAAGCUAAUGUUGUUUUAGGCUAAGGUCACGACAUGUUGGAUUGACUUAAAUUGUUUAUGCUUAUAAAUUGAAGUUAUAAGCUUUAUUUCUUUGAAUUAUGAACUUACUAAGUUGUGAAGCUUACUUUGUGUUAUUUUUCUAUGUUUUGUAGUGUUUCAGAAGUUUGCUCGGGUUGGAAGUCAACGGAGAUCGCAUCACACUAUCCUGCUAUUGAUUUUUGGUAUUUUUACACUUUGGUGCUUGGUAUAUGGCAUGUACAGGCUAGAAUUUGAUAUGUAUAUAUGUUAUGCCAUGAGAGUUGGCUAGCA